UUUACAUUAUACAACAUGAAUGCCAAAAGCAUAUUUCUAACUUGCCUUAUUUUGUCAUGCCUCAUUGCACUAGCAUAUUCAUCAGCUAAUCCGGGAGGUAACAUUGUUACCGAAAGUAACAGCAACAAAGCACAGGACUAUAAUCCUCAAAAGACUGGCGUAAGCCAGGGACAAAGUCACCAGCACUCAUUGUUCUAAAAAAAAAAUUGUUUAAAUUAUGAUUGUAUUUUAUAUAUUUUGCAUUU